UAGCGGAACUCCUACGGGAGGCAGCAGUAGGGAAUCUUCCACAAUGGACGCAAGUCUGAUGGAGCAACGCCGCGUGAGUGAAGAAGGUUUUCGGAUCGUAAAGCUCUGUUGUUGGUGAAGAAGGAUAGAGGUAGUAACUGGCCUUUAUUUGACGGUAAUCAACCAGAAAGUCACGGCUAACUACGUGCCAGCAGCCGCGGUAAUACGUAGGUGGCAAGCGUUGUCCGGAUUUAUUGGGCGUAAAGCGAGCGCAGGCGGAAGAAUAAGUCUGAUGUGAAAGCCCUCGGCUUAACCGAGGAACUGCAUCGGAAACUGUUUUUCUUGAGUGCAGAAGAGGAGAGUGGAACUCCAUGUGUAGCGGUGGAAUGCGUAGAUAUAUGGAAGAACACCAGUGGCGAAGGCGGCUCUCUGGUCUGCAACUGACGCUGAGGCUCGAAAGCAUGGGUAGCGAACAGGAUUAGAAACCCUAGUAGUCCACUUAUG
rnacentral:rRNA from 1 species